rnacentral:rRNA from 1 species
GCAUAUCAAUAAGCGGAGGAAAAGAAACCAACCGGGAUUGCCCCAGUAACGGCGAGUGAAGCGGCAAGAGCUCAAAUUUGAAAUCUGGCCCCUCCGGGGUCCGAGUUGUAAUUUGCAGAGGAUGCUUCGGGUGCGGCCCCUGUCUAAGUGCCCUGGAACGGGCCGUCAGAGAGGGUGAGAAUCCCGUCUUGGGCAGGGUGCCCGUGCCCGUGUGAAGCUCCUUCGACGAGUCGAGUUGUUUGGGAAUGCAGCUCUAAAUGGGUGGUAAAUUUCAUCUAAAGCUAAAUACCGGCCGGAGACCGAUAGCGCACAAGUAGAGUGAUCGAAAGAUGAAAAGCACUUUGAAAAGAGAGUUAAACAGCACGUGAAAUUGUUGAAAGGGAAGCGCUUGCGACCAGACUCGGCCUCGGGGUUCAGCCAGCAUUCGUGCUGGUGUACUUCCCCGGGGCCGGGCCAGCGUCGGUUCGGGCGGCCGGUCAAAGGCCCCAGGAAUGUAUCGUCCUCCGGGACGUCUUAUAGCCUGGGGUGCAAUGCGGCCAGCCUGGACCGAGGAACGCGCUUCGGCACGGACGCUGGCGUAAUGGUCACAAACGACCCGUCUUGAAACACGGACCAAGGAGUCUAACAUCUACGCGAGUGUUCGGGUGUCAAACCCGUACGCGCAGUGAAAGCGAACGGAGGUGGGAGCCCCUUUUGGGGCGCACCAUCGACCGAUCCUGAAGUCUUCGGAUGGAUUUGAGUACGAGCGUAGCUGUGGGGACCCGAAAGAUGGUGAACUAUGCCUGAAUAGGGUGAAGCCAGAGGAAACUCUGGUGGAGGCUCGCAGCGGUUCUGACGUGCAAAUCGAUCGUCAAAUUUGGGUAUAGGGGCGAAAGACUAAUCGAACCAUCUGGUAGCUGGUUCCUGCCGA